UAAAAUAAACAGGUCUAAAUCGUAGCGAAUAUUAAAAAAAAAUAUUAAAUACGAAAAAAUAAAGUCUGAUUGGUAGAGAAGGGAGCUGACGUGGCGGAUCUAAGGUCAAAGUCGAAAUUAGGGCUUAAUGCGAUGCUAAGCGGCGAGAUUGACCGGAAAGGCUACGGUUCCAUCACCCCCGGCCCCGAUGAUGGCAGCGCGAGGAGCUUUUUUGUUGAUCACUAUUCAAUCGCCUCGGAUGGACUAAGGCUGUGGUUGUUUCAAUUGCGUCGAUGAACAAAACUUCAGAGGCGGUGGUAUCUCAGAUCGGGUGGAGAAGGAAGGUUCUAAUCCUCAGUCAUCAAUCGCAGCCAAUAGUUCUAGUCUUUAGAAACUUCCUCUGGUUUAUGAUUACUGUUUGAAACGAGCAUGUUUAUUGGCGCAUCUUAUUACGUCUCUUAAAUUUAAUGAGGUAUUGGAAAAAAUGAAUUAAUCUAAUAAGCCACGUAUCUUAUUUAGACGACAGAAAAGCAAAAUCGGUUCCUCUCCCCCUCAGCUUUUCCGAAAUCAUAUCCUUGCCCUAUCUGGUCUUCCUAUUCCGCCACUUCUUCUCUUCUCCUCCCUCCCAUGUCCUCCGCCCUCGCUGAUGAGCAUGUUCGUCCCGGGUUUCGUGCUCAGCUGCAGCGCCUGGAAGGUGAGAACUGGAGCAGUUAGAGAAAUCUGUGGAGUGUCAUCAUGGCCAACACUGAUUGAACUGUUAGAGAAGCUCGUUGAUCGGUUAGGCUAUUCGUGAAUCUUCUGAUUGGUCAUCGAUCAUGCUUGUGUUUCUUCCGGUUCUACUUAUAGUCAGUCACUUCUCAGUUUAAAUGGAGGCAGGCAACCGCUUCUUGAGCUUGAUGCUGCUCUUAGCUUGUCUCAGAAACAUCAGCAGAUUGCAAAGAGAAGGCAACUCAUUGAUUCUAACUCUGCUUUUCAUGGGAACUGUGUUUAAAGCAAAAAAGGACAGAAGCGCAUUCUCGUAUUCAACAGUUUUUUUUUCUAGUGUUUUGUGUUGUUGUGGUCACUAGUUAAAUCAGUAGCUUGUAGUCUAGUGUAGUUUAGAGAGUUUAGAGAGGUAUUCUUCUUUUGACAGUGUGCUCUUAUGGAGUUUAAGAGUUAAGAUUUGAACUCAAACUACGCAAGCUCUAAAAAAAUGAUCAAGCUUUUGGACUAUAGUUUGAGCCAUCGUUUCACCUUUUUUUUUUUUGCAUAUAAGCUCUCGCAGCAGAGCCAGAUUGGGAGUUCAUGAGAGAGAACCAGAGCAAGCUCGCAUUUUUAUUUGGCAUUGAUGAUCAUUGGGGUCCACUGCAACUCUUUGAAGAGAUUUCAAAGCAGGCGCCUGGUACUUCCUUAUCUAUCGAGAGGGAAGGUCACACUCAUGGAUUCUGCUGCACCGUGGCUGGCUCCGUGUGGGUUGCGCAGCACGUAGCCACUCUGAUCAAGAACCGAUUUAAGCAUCUCCAGUAAAUGUUAAAUUUCACGGUCUCUUCUUCCUUAAACCCUUUAAGCCGGUCUGUGAUUUUACAUUCCUGACCAUUAAAAGCGUUUAUAACAAUUAA